rnacentral:tRNA from 1 species
GGCUCUGUGGCGCAAUGGAGAGCGCAUUGGACUUCUAAUUCAAAGGUUGUGGGUUCGAGUCCCACCAGAGUCA